CGAACCUCUGCAGGAAAAACCUGUGUAAACAUGACACAGAAUCAUGAAGAGAGAGCACUUCAUAACCAAAGGUUUCCCCUGCAAUGGCAGCGUCAUCUCUGGUGGUUUGAGUCAGCAUUUCUGUCACUUGCAGUUCAGACACCCGAUCCGCGCAAAACAAGAUUCUGAGAAGCUGAAACAGAAGCCGAGGGGAGAGGACGGCUGGCCUACUUGAGCUCGUCCUCCUCGAUGAAGCCGCUCUUGUCCUGGUCGAUGACAGCGAAAGCCUUCUUGACGACGUCGGCAGACUUGCCGGCCAGGCCGACCUUGGCGAAGAACUCCUUGUGCUUGAAGGAGUCGGCAGCUGCACGUACGACACACAUUGGUGGCAUAUUACUUACAUGUUGACUGCUUGACAGGUGCUCCAUCAGAUCCAAUUAUUGCAUGUUGAGUGCAUUCCACACGCAGCUUAACUUGUUGGCAGCCAUUGACGGCGAUGGACGUCCAAGCCAUUUGAACUGGGGGGACCUGGCAGCGAUCAGCCCCUCCCACUUUAAAUGAAUUGGAGGUCUAUUGCCAUCAAUGGUAGUGAAUGAGUAAACGGGGAAUACCUUGUAACUGAGUGUUAUGAUAUACAGUACUCAUUGAAGAUAUAAUUAUUCACUUACAUCAGUAAUUGCCAACAUAAAUUUAUAUCACCUAAAUCAAAAGUGCAUUUUUAAACCAAAUAAUUUU